rnacentral:rRNA from 1 species
AGUGAACGCUGGCGGUAGGCCUAACACAUGCAAGUCGAACGGCAGCACAGUAAGAGCUUGCUCUUACGGGUGGCGAGUGGCGGACGGGUGAGGAAUACAUCGGAAUCUACUUUUUCGUGGGGGAUAACGUAGGGAAACUUACGCUAAUACCGCAUACGACCUCCGGGUGAAAGCAUGGGAUCUUCGGACCUUGCGCGAUUGAAUGAGCCGAUGUCGGAUUAGCUAGUUGGCGGGGUAAAGGCCCACCAAGGCGACGAUCCGUAGCUGGUCUGAGAGGAUGAUCAGCCACACUGGAACUGAGACACGGUCCAGACUCCUACGGGAGGCAGCAGUGGGGAAUAUUGGACAAUAGGCGCAAGCCUGAUCCAGCCAUACCGCGUGGGUGAAGAAGGCCUUCGGGUUGUAAAGCCCUUUUGUUGGGAAAGAAAAGCAGCAGGUUAAUACCCCGCUGUUCUGACGGUACCCAAAGAAUAAGCACCGGCUAACUUCGUG